GUUGAAAGACGGAAUGGUGAUGGUUGGUUUUCGAUAUCCAUGUUAGAUAGAAAGGCAUUCUACAUGGACAUCUUUAACGCAACAGAGAAGUUUGAUGCAAUUUUGCAUCAGGCAUGGAAGCGUUUACAAAGUAGACCUUCCAUCAUUAGGGAAUAUAGCUGUGAAGAGACUUCAUUCUUUAUUUGAGAAUACACUCCCAAAAGCUUCUUAAUUGAAGUAAGGGCAUUGACUGGGAUUAAGCACCGGAAUAUUGUGAACCUCUACGGCUAUUGUUCAAAUGCAAAACACUCGUUCUUGGUUUACGAGUAUGUGGAGAGGGGGAAUUUGUCUAUUAUUUUGAGCAAUGAAGUUGAGUCCAAGAAAUUGGAUUGGCUGAAAAGGAUGAAUAUCAUCUAGGGUGUUGCUUUUGCUUUAUCUUACAUGCACCAUGAUUGUUCACCACCGAUUGUUCAUUGAGACAUAUCAAGCAGUAAUGUUUUGCUUGAUUCCAAGUAUGAAGCUCGUGUUGCAGACUUUGGCAUAGCGAAGCUUCUCAAUCCAGACUCAUCCAAUUGCACUGCAUUUGCAGGCACAUAUGGCUAUGUUGCACCUGAGCUUGCAUAUACAAUGAAGGUUACGGAAAUGUGUGAUGUUUAUAGCUUUGGAGUAUAGGAUUGGAGAUAAUCAAAGGAAAGCAUCUCGGGGAAUACAUUACUAUGGUAGCAAAUUCAUCGACUGUAGAUCAUGUGCAGCUUAGUGAUUUGCUAGAUGAACUUCUUCCAUAUCCUGAAGAUGAAGUAAAAGAUGUUUUGGUUUUUAUCAUCAAACUAGCAAGCUCUUGUUUGCUUGAAGCUCCAAAAUCAAGGCCAACAAUGCACUUCAUAUCUCAUAGGUUAUCAUCAAUGGAUGCACGUCCGCCUACUCAUGUAAAGCGAGCCUUGUAAUCCCUGAUAUAUAUAUGUAAGGUAUCUUUGCAUGAAAA